UCACAACGUCAGAUCCAGAGCAGAAAGACUGUAUGGUAUGAAGGUUAUGGUUUUGUUGUUGUUUGUUCCAAAUCGAUCUUCUACAGGUACUUUGAAGGGUAUUUUGUUUAAUGGCACAAAGAAUUUGGAUUGAGAUGGAAGAAGGCUGAAACAUAUUUUUUUGUUAGUGAUUUUCUGUGCUUGUUGAACAAAGAUUUCAAGGUUUUUGUAUAUGACCUUUUGGGCAAGUUUGGGACAGCAAAGAUAUCGACAAUACAACAUGAUGUAUGCGGGUUUUUGGACUGACCUGUUUGGACUAAUAUGCAGGGUUAUUUCUGGUUUGGGGCAGCAGUAUGGUGGAGUUAGUUUAUGCAGAGCUUUGACUUGUUUAUGGACAGUAUGCAUAGGAAAACAGAGCAGCAACAGUAGGUUAAUGGGAUGUAAUUUUCCUCUUGUACUUUCUGGUUUCAU